rnacentral:rRNA from 1 species
GAUGAACGCUGGCGGCGUGCCUAAUACAUGCAAGUCGAGCGAACAGACGAGGAGCUUGCUCCUUUGACGUUAGCGGCGGACGGGUGAGUAACACGUGGAUAACCUACCUAUAAGACUGGGAUAACUUCGGGAAACCGGAGCUAAUACCGGAUAAUAUAUUGAACCGCAUGGUUCGAUAGUGAAAGAUGGCUUUGCUGUCACUUAUAGAUGGACCUGCGCCGUAUUAGCUAGUUGGUAAGGUAACGGCUUACCAAGGCGACGAUGCGUAGCCGACCUGAGAGGUGGGUAGGCCACACUGGAACUGAGACACGGUCCAGGCUCCUACGGGAGGCCGCAGUAGGGAAUCUUCCGCAAUGGGCGAAAGCAUGACGGAGCAACGCCGCGUGAGUGAUGAAGGUCUUCGGAUCGUAAAGCCCUGUUAUUAGGGGAGAACAAAUGUGUAAGUAACUGUGCACGUAUUGACGGUACCUGGUCAGAAAGCCACGGCUAACUACGUG